AGUUCCAUGUGUUAUCUGGCAGGGGAGCGUUUGGAGAGAACUGGGCCCAGAGACACUCGUUACAGCCCAGUUUUAAGGAGGUGUGUCGAGUGCUAGCACGUCUGGUUUGGACUGCAGCUUUAUUCAGCACUUUUGCUUUUGUGUGCCUCAGUAAUGAAAUGUCAGACCCUCCUCUUCUCUGUGUUCUCAUAGCAACUAGGAAGGCCUAGGAGAAGGAACACAAGAGACUUGGACAGAAAAGCUAUGUGCCAAGGCUCAGGCCUUAAAGACAUUUUCAGAGUCUAUUUUUGUUUGGAUCAACUUAGACCACGGUUUAUUCUCACUGACUGCAGUGAUUACACAUUUUAUAUGGUAAAUAUAAAUAUAUUUAAUAAAUAUAUUUAAUAAAUAUAUCCCAGCAGGCUGAUUUUAUAUAUGUAUGUAUGGUAAAAAUAAGAUGGCAGUGUUAUCGAUUAGAUAACUUGAAUAAGUUUCCUCUUCCCAUUUAUAUCAGCUAAUGGACAGAUGAAAAAUACGCACAGCAGAGAUGACGGACCUGAGUUCUACAUGACAUAAAUUCUUUUAAACCAAGUGUAGCAUCGACCCACAUGAGCAUUGACAUUUUUUAGCUUUGAAAAUAAGCAAAAACUGUCCAAAAAAUCACCAACCCAGAUUAAAAUUGACUUUUAUUUCAUAUAAAAAAACAUUAAAUAAAACAUUAAUAUUGCCAUUCUGUCUUCA
rnacentral:lncRNA from 1 species